rnacentral:tRNA from 1 species
CCAGAUCACUCAGUGGUAAAGAAUCUGCCUGCAAUGCAGGAGACCGGGGUUCAAUCCCUGGGUCAGGA